rnacentral:lncRNA from 1 species
UUAUUAUUAAAAUUUCAUGAUAUUAGUAAAAAACAGCAUCUUUUGCUGCAUAUUUAAAUAAUUUUGAAAAAAAAAUUGGAACAAAUAAUCUCAAUACAGUAUCAAUCCAUUUGUAAUUUUAAGAAGAGAGAGGGUUGAUGUACUUGUUGCAAUCUAAUGACUAAAAUACCUCAAGAAAUGCUUUCUCUAUUAGUUUGAGGUUGCCAAAAAUGAAAUAUCACAAUGUAAGCAACGUCAUUCCCCCCUCCCCCCUCUAACUGUUUUGUAUGCCCUUAAGAGGACCUAAUCUUUAAUGUUGUUUUAGUUUAAUUAGCAAACUCCCAUGAAACCGGAACACACUAUUGUAAUGUAUGCUGCACCAAGGGUAGCACUUUUUCAGAUAAGAAAAGUGUAGUGUACAUGUAGUAUUAUGCUGAUGACAACAUUUAAAAGCAUGAGCUAUUUUAUUGUACAUUGUUUGUAAAUAAUUGUCAAUAUGUCUUUGUAGAGUAGUCUUUGUGUAGGAUAUUUUUGUCAACUUUUAACACAAGAUAUUCCUUUGUUAAAAGUUAUUUAUGAAAUGUGCAAAAUAUGUUGAUCAAUCAAUGUACAGAAUAAUUUUGUGGUCAAGAAAAAUGCCAUGUCUGUUUAGGGUUUCCCCAACUUCUUAUCCCUAUUUUAGUGCUAACCUGAUAUUUUUUAUUGAAUUUUAUGUUUCAGUUAGAAUUGUUAAAUUCUAAAUUGAUUUCUUAUACAGUUUGUAAAAAAUCAAUGAAAACAAUUUACCUUCCUAAUUUUUCUCCAUUUUGUUACUCUAAACAGACACAUUUUUUUCUUGGCCUGAUUAUUACAUUUGAGUUUGUAGUUCAGUUGGUGCUAAAAUCUUAAGAUAAGGCUUGUUUAAUUAUUUUUUUUGUACAUGUAGAUGUAAUUUCAGUAAAAUAAUUGUUAACAAGUGUUGGGAAAUUUUAUAAAAGUACUUUAUAUAGGGUACCAAAGCCUUGAUUUUAAAUGAUAACAUAUCACUAUAUAUAGCUACCAGGCUUGCAUCUAGAACUUGUGAAUGUAAAAAUGACCAACACUCCUGGAAUUUAUAAAUUGAACAAUUUAUUUCAAUAUUUUAUGGUCAUAAACAGGUUCAACAGUCAUGACAGUGGCAGAUCUAGUUAUUUUCAUAAGUAGUGGCCCAUGGCCACUUACAUGUACUGUCUAAGGUGAGGGCUGCUCUGGUCAUGUUUCAGUGAUUGCCUAAAUAAUCAACAAAACACAUGUGACAUUAUUCUAUGGCAAAAGUUUAAAAGAAAUCUGUAUUUAAUGUCAAUUGCAUUGCUUUAUUAGGUCAUGGAGACUAUAAUGAUAAAUUAUAUAGCAAUAAAAUAUCAUCUUCUUAAGGUGGGACUAUCCAUGACCAAAACUGAUGAGUCUUUGGACUCGCCUUCAAAAAUCCUUAGUGAGAACCUUAAACUGUCUGACUACCAUUAUUCCUGAAGUAUGAUAGAUGAACAUGGGAGGUUAAUGAUCAAUUUAUCUUUGAAUAAACUCUUCUACUUUUGAUUUUUGAAAUAGAGACGGAAUUUGGAAGUACAUUUUUUUUUAGAUUUUAUCUCGGAUAUAGUUCUUAAAUGAUACUCUAGCUUUCCUGGCAGUUAGAAAACCAAUAUAUACCAUUCCUCCAAGAACACAUGAAGAAAUAAUCAAAGGAGCAGGUCCAGUAAGACCCCUUUUUGGCCCUAAUAUAUAGUUUUACAUAAUUAUUAAAGUGUAAACUUUAAGUUAUUUAUUUGAAAGUAAAAUGCUUCUGCUACAUUAA